rnacentral:rRNA from 1 species
ACGAACGCUGGCGGCGUGCUUAACCCCUGCAAGUCGAACGGAAAGGCCCUUCGGGGUACUCGAGUGGCGAACGGGUGAGUAACACGUGGGUGAUCUGCCCUGCACUUUGGGAUAAGCCUGGGAAACUGGGUCUAAUACCGAAUAUGAUCAUCGGCUUCAUGGUCGGUGGUGGAAAGCUUUUGCGGUGUGGGAUGGGCCCGCGGCCUAUCAGCUUGUUGGUGGGGUAAUGGCCUACCAAGGCGACGACGGGUAGCCGGCCUGAGAGGGUGACCGGCCACACUGGGACUGAGAUACGGCCCAGACUCCUACGGGAGGCAGCAGUGGGGAAUAUUGCACAAUGGGCGCAAGCCUGAUGCAGCGACGCCGCGUGAGGGAUGACGGCCUUCGGGUUGUAAACCUCUUUCAGCACAGACGAAGCGCAAGUGACGGUAUGUGCAGAAGAAGGACCGGCCAACUACGUG